rnacentral:lncRNA from 1 species
UUUUCUUCUUAGAGUUUCUGUUGCAAGAAUAUGUGCAAGAUUAUUUGCAGAUCUUGGUGUAUGUUGGAAUCUAAUAUUAUUGGAGCCACUUAUUUUCUGUUGGAUAUCAUAAAUAUAUGCCCCUACCAGUGAUCGAUCUUGACCCUUUGUGUUGCAUUUCUUUAUUAUUGCGAGGGAAUCUCCUUCAAAGAUGAUUGACUGCCAUUCCUUUUCGACUCCUAUUUGAACUGCUUUCCAACAGGCUAUUGCUUCAGCAGCAAAUGCAAAGGUUAUGUCAUUGUGGAUCUCUGAACAGGAUAAAAGAACUUUUCCUUCCGCAUCUCUGGCCACAAUACUUGAAGCUG